AUAUAUAUAUAUAUAUAUAUAAACAUAUAUAUAUGUAUAUAUAUAUAUGUAUAUAAACAUAUAUAUAUGUAUAUAUAUAUAUGUGUGUGUGUGUAUAUAUAUAUAUAUAUAUAUAUGUAUAUGUAUAUAUAUAAAUCUAUAAAUAAGGAUAAUAUCGAUAUUAUCAAGUGGCCAGCAUGGGAAAAAAUACCAUACAAAGGUAAUAAUUUUUUACAACUAAAAAUAAGGGUGUCUGAGAGACACCACCGUGCCGAAAUAGCAGUCAAAUCCCUGACUCUAAGAACCACCUUAAAUGUUCAUAUCACACCAUGAGAUAAGAUAAAGGGACAAAAUAAACUAGCAAAAAGAUAUUACUGAAUAAUAUUACUGUUUGGCGGGCAAUUUGAACUGGCCUUGUACAUACGUGCAUAUAUACGUAUGUAUGGACGUUCGUAUAUGUAAGUAUAACGUUUGUUCUGUAUAUAUAUAUUUGUAUUUAUGUGCCCAUCUGAUAUAUUCAACUGAUGAAGGCAGUGCUUAUUUGAAGCAAAACUAGAAAUCCAGGAUCUUGAAUUAUUCAGUAAUAUCUUUUUGCUAGUCUAUUUUGUCCCUCUAUCUUAUCUCAUGGUGCGAUAUGAAUAUUUAAGGUGGUUCUUAGAGUCAGGGAUUUGACUGCUAUUUCGGCAUGGUGGUGUCUCUCAGACACCCUUAUUUUUAGUUAUAUAUAUAUAUAAAUAUAAACAUAUAUAAUAUAUAUAUAUAUAUAUAUAUAUAUAUAUAUAUAUAUAUAUAACUUGAUUUCGAAACGUACGUCCGUGGAUAACUAAAAAAAUGUAUGAUAGAUUGCAGUCAAUUCAUUCUCUCUUACCUGUUUGUGUCUGCCUUCCAAAUGCUGUUUUUACUGAGAUCUCCCUUUUUAGUAGAAGAAAUAGCUAUAACCCUUUGACUGCUAUUUCUAAAUUCGGUAUGUGGUAAGGCAACUCGUUGCUAAACCCUUAUUGCUUAUAUAUAUAUAUAUAUAUAUAAUAUGUAUAUAUAUAUAUAUAUAUAAAUAUAAACAUAUAUAAUAUAUAUAUAUAUAUAUAUAUAUAUAUAUAUAUAUAUAUAUAUAUAUAUAUAUAUAUAUAUAUAUAUAUAUAUACUUAUAUACUUAUGUAUAUAUAAUACACAUAUAUAUACUUAUAUAUAUAAUGUGGAAUGACUCUAUUAUUAUAGUUGGUUCCAGUCUCACCAAAUUUGGUACAUGGGAAAGUAAUAUUGAUGUUGUGUGCAUGUAUACAUACAUACUUAUACACACACAUAUAUAUGUAUAUUUUAUAUAUAUAUAUGUAUAUAUAUGUGUGUGUGUGUGUGUGUGUAUAUAUAUUUAUACAUACACACACAUACAUAUAUAUUUCCACAUGAGCAUGUAUGUCUUUACAGAUGUGCAUAUAUGCAAACAUGUAUGUGUACAUAUGUGUGUGUAUGUGUGUGUACACAUGUAAAUAUAAUAUAUAUAGAGUCACUGAAACAAAACACCAAACUAAUUAAUACACUUACUCUGGGCUGAACCAAUUCCUUUUCCAACUUCUGCCUCUAACCUUACAAAUCCUUCCACCCCCUCCACUUCUCCAUCCUCUCCACCCUCCUUACCAUCUCCCUCUACCCACCACUUUUUUACUCCCCUCUCUCUAACCACACACUUCUUUUGCCCAUUCCUCACCUCACACUACUCCUCUUGCCACUCUCAUAUACACCUUACCUCUUACCAUAUCUCUCACCACCCCCAUCACCUUUUUUCCACAGACACACAUCCAUCUAUUCCAUUUCUGUCCGCAAAUUCCCCAUCUUCAUCCCUGGGUAAAUUCUAGGUCCUACCCCCUCUUUUGGCCACACAUUCUCCCACCACCACUACCACCUUGUCAUCUUAUAUUUGCCUCUAGUUCAACAUUUGCCGGCCAACACACAUUGCUUCUUCUGUCUCACUUCUCCCAUCUCGUUCUUGUAAAACGAACUGACUUGAGGUUAAAAUGAAGGACACAUGCUAAAUAAAUAGACUUGUGGUGCGCGCGUGUGUGUUAGGUUUUGUAUAUUUUAUGUCAUUCAUUUGUCCUGCCCUGCGCUGUUUUGUUUGCCUGCCUGCCCUCACUCUUACAUUUAUAUUAUUCAUUCUCAACCACUCCUAUGAAGGUCUGUCGGCAACGAUGCUUGACAAAAUGGCUGGAAAUAAUCGGGCACAUUCCUUUACAUUGUGAGCCUGGUUCUUGCAGAGUCAGUCCUUCAGGAAAUGGAUGAGAACUGUGUGUGUAUUUAUUUACGUACGUACAUUUGUGUGCGUGUGUAUGUUUUAUAUAUAUGCAUAUAUAUAUAUAUAUAUAGUUAUAUAUAUAUAUAUAUAUAUAGGCACAUAUAUAUAUAUACAUAUAUAGGCAUAUAUAUAUAUAUAUAUAUAUAUUGAUAAAACGGUAAGAUAACAAAAGAAAGAAAGAGACCUCAAUAUUAUGUAAAUAGAGGAAAUUUAUCUAUGCAAUAUGUUACAUUACUCGGUAGUCAAGAUAAAACUCUGAGUUUCAGAUGCCGAAGUGGAAAUCCACAACACCAUCUCUUCGGUUAUCUGGCUAUUUGAAAACGUUAUGAAAAAAUACCGUUAAAAAUGAAGGGAAAUUACUCUGUUAUAACUCUGCUUUGCCUGCGUACUUAUACAUCGCUCGCAUUUUUCGUCAUAAAAAUUCUAUAAAAAUACAUAAAAAUAUAUAAAAAUAUAUAAAAAUAUAUAAAAUCUUCUUGGGACAUAACACAGAAAGCAUGUUCUAUCCGUUUUCUUUAGCGGACCAAAAACGUAACAGAAAUUUAGUCACAUGUGGGCAUGAUCCGAAAAGCUCUGUCCUUGUAUUUAGACAUGUGGUAGGGUCUAAGCUGCUUUUCCAGAUAAGCCAUCUCUCCAUGUCGCAUAAACCGCACCUUCCGCUGCCGUUAGUAUAGGGCUUACAUCUGGCCAAAAUCUUCCAUUGUAUGUUAUAAUCGACACCUUUAUCUCUUAAAGACCAAAUAUGAUUGGAUAAUUGUGUCGCUUUUCUUUUGUUCCAGUGCCUAAAGCUCAAAGUGUGGUUAUUGAACCUGGCCUUGAAAUUACCCUCUGUCAGGCCCACGUAUUUCUUCGUCGAAACGGUGUCUUUAGUGGUUAUAGAGUUUACGGUAGCUUCAUAUAUGAUGGUCUUGGACAUGCAAGCUCCAUUUAGCGGGCACAAUUCUUUAUUCCUGCAUGAACAGCUGUUUUCUUCUUGUGUUUUUUGUAUGUUAUGAUUGAUUAUGUUUUUAAAAUUGGUAGUUGAACUAAAACUAAUUUUUAAAUUGUGUCUAUUGAAGAGUUUCCUAUAAGCAUGGUUAACUGGAAAAUGUCUAUCUAUGUGCGGUUUAUGCGACAUGGAGAGAUGGCUUAUCUGGAAAAGCAGCUUAGACCCUACCACAUGUCUAAAUACAAGGACAGAGCUUUUCGGAUCAUGCCCACAUGUGACUAAAUUUCUGUUACGUUUUUGGUCCCCUAAAGAAAACGGAUAGAACAUGCUUUCUGUGUUAUGUCCCAAGAAGAUUUUAUAUAUUUUUAUAUAUUUUUAUGUAUUUUUAUAUAAUUUUUAUGACGAAAAAUGCGAGCGAUGUAUAAGUACGCAGGCAAAGCAGAGUUAUAACAGAGUAAUUUCCCUUCAUUUUUAACGGUAUUUUUUCAUAACGUUUUCAAAUAGCCAGAUAACCGAAGAGAUGGUGUUGUGGAUUUCCACUUCGGCAUCUGAAACUCAGAGUUUUAUCUUGACUACCGAGUAAUGUAACAUAUUGUAUAGAUAUAUAUAUAUAUAUAUAUAUAUAUAUAUAUAUAUACAAAUUGAGAUAGGGGUUGUAAAUGCGACCCUCCAUGGGAUAACAUAUAUCCAAUAUACUGCUAGUGAAGUACCCAACAAAGUUAAUACAUAAAUGUUAAUGAUUGUGAUGUAAUCAAUUCAUUUACUGUAUUAUAUGGGCAAAGGUAAAAUGAUUUACCACAAAUUACUAAUACAAGAUAAGAAAAUGGAGAAAUACAUCUAAAUCUGAUUUAGAUGUAUUUCUCCAUUUUCUUAUCUUGUGUGUGUAUAUAUAUAUAUAUAUAUAUAUAUAUAUACAUAUAUAUAUAUAUAUAUAUAUAUAUAAUAUAUAUAUAUAUAUAUAUAUAUAUAUAUAUAUAUAUAUAUAUAUAUAUAUAUAUAUAUAUAUAUAUAUAUAUAUAUAUAUAUAUAUAUAUAUAUAUAUAUAUAUAUAUAUAUAUAUACAUAUAUAUAUAUAUAUAUAUAUAUAUAUAUAUAUAUAUAUAUAUAUAUAUAUAUAUAUAUAGGCGCAGGAGUGGCUGUGUGGUAAGUAGCUUGUUUACCAACCACAUGGUUCCGGGUUUAGUCUCACUGCGUGGCACCUUGGGCGAGUGUCUUCUACUAUAACUUCGGGCCGACCAAAGCCAUGUGAGUGGAUUUGGUAGACGGAAACUGAAAGAAGCCCGUCGUAUAUAUAUAUAUAUAUAUAUAUAUAUAUAUAUAUAUAUAUAUAUAUAUAUAUAUAUAUACAUAUAUAUAUACAUAUAUGUAUGUAUGUAUGUGUGUGUAUAUGUUUGUGCGUCUGUGUUUGUCCCCCUAGCAUUGCUUGACAACCGAUGCUUAUGCCCCCGUUACUUAGAGGUUCGGCAAAACAGACCGAUAGAAUAAGUACUGGGCUUACAAAAGAAUAAGUCCCGGGGUCGAGUUGCUCGAUUAAAGGUGGUGCUCCAGCAUGGCCGCAGUCAAAUGACUGAAACAAAUAAGAAAAAAAAGAGUAUAUAUAUAUAUAUAUAUAUACAUACAUACAUAUAUGUACAUACCUACAUAUAUAUGUAUACAUAUACAUGCAUAUAUGGGUUGAGGACAUAAAAAAAAUGUAGACAAAAUGAGAAACGAAAACAUUAAAAACAAAAACAUAGAAACAAUCUUUUUUUCGGACAAUGAAAGACAAACAAACAGAGAAACGAGACAGGCAACAUAAAAAAAAAAAACAUUCCCUUCAUCAGUUGUCCCCUGUUUUAUCUACUCCGCUUUUCGAAAUAAACACACACACACAGACACCCACUGCGUGGCACCUUGGGCAAGUGCCUUCUACCAAAGCCUUCUGAGUGGAUUUGGUAGACCGAAACUGAAAGAAGCUUCUCGUAUAUGUAUGUAUGUGUGUAUUUGUGUGUCCUUGUUUGCCCCCCACCCCACCCCCAUUGCUUGACAACCGAUGUUGGUGUGUUUACGUGCCUGUAACUUAGCAGUUUGGCAAAAGAGACUGAUAGAAUAAGUACUAGGCUUACAAAAAACAAGUCCUGGGGUCAGUUUGUACAACUAAAGGCAGUGCUCCAGCAUGGCAGCAGUCAAAUGACUGAAACAAGUAAAAGAACAAAAAAUAUGUCUGUAUGUAUAUUUGCACACAUGUAUAUACAUUUGUAUCUUUGUAUGAUAUAUACAUGUGUGUGUGUGUGUGUAAAUGAUAGAGUAAUUUGAAGGAUUGUUUUGGUCCAAUGGUAGAAUGUCUCUCAUGUCUACAGAAGAUGUAGGUUUGAGACCCAUGGGAUUGACCUUUGAUAUUUCCUAUCCAAAACGGUUUUUCAGCCCAGUAUUUUAUAUUGUGUUAGUCAUAGCUCUAUGUAAUACGCUUCAAGGUCCAAUAUUUCAAAAAGAAUCAUUUCCAUAGUUUAUAGAAUUCUCAUGGCAUCUAUCUAUCUGUCUGCCUGACUGCCUGUCACUGUCUUUCUUUCUAUCUGUCUAUCUAUCUAUCUAUCUAUCUAUCUAUCAAUUUGUCUGUCUGUCUGCUUGUCUCUCUGUCUAUCUAUCUAUCUGUUUGUCUGUCUAUAUCUCUUUCUAUCUAUCUUUCUGUUUAUCUAUCUAUCUUUGUCUGUCUGUCUUUCUAUCUGUUUAUCUAUCUAUCCAUCCAUCCACCCAUCCACCCAUCUAUCCAUCCAUCCAGGCACCCAUCCGUAAUAUCAUAUAAUGUAGAUAGGGGUUAAAAUCCAUGCUCUGUCCCCUUCAAGCACAUCUGUUUAUUCCAGUAAACCCUAAAAAAUAUAUAGAUGUUACAUUUGUGUGAGGUAUGCAUAAGAAUUGAAAAUACAGGGGAAUAAUACUUCCUGUCUGAUAAUAAUAUCAAAACAGGAGAUUGGAAAAUUUUCAAAUCUAUUUUAAUAUCUAUAUUUAAUUAUUUAUUCAUCAUUUUUCAUUCAGUUAUAAGGUUCUUACCAAACUGCUUCAUAUCAAUAUUAUGGACUUACCAUUGUGCUUUUUCCUGGAGUUUGCUUGUUUACAUCGCAGCUAUUAAGACCUCUUAAUGUGGCCUUUACUGAUCCCCUGUAAUUUAUAGUCCUUCAUGCAUGUUUUUAUCCCAGGAGUGGCUGUGUGGUAAGUAGCUCGCUUACCAACCACAUGGUUCUGGGUUCAGUUCCACUGCGUGGCACCAUGGGUAAAUGUCUUCUACUAUAGCCUCGAGCCGACCAAAGCCUUGUGAGUGGAUUUGGUAGACAGAAACUGAAAGAAGCCUGUCAUAUAUAUGUAUGUAUAUAUGUGUGUGUGUGUGUUUGUGUGUGUGUGUUUGUCCUCCCAAUAUUGCUUGACAUCCGAUGCUGGUGUGGUUACAUUCCCGUAACUUAGCAGUUCGGCAAAAAGAAACUGAUAGAAUAAGUACUCGGCUUACAAAGAGUAAGUCCUGGGGUUGAUUUGCUCGACCGGAAGAAGGGUGGUGCUACAGCAUGGCCACAGUCAAAUGACUGUAACAAAUAAAAGAAUAAAAGGUAUAUGUCAUAACCUGACCCCUAAAGCUGUUAUUUGCUUGUCCGUCUUGUGAUACCAUCAUACUUAUGUAUAUACAUAUGUACCUUUAUAAAAGGUACUUGUUUGAAUUACCAAGAGUGGAUAUUGUUACUUAGCUGGGUUGCAUUGUCUACACACUUGACAGGAAUAUUGCGUACAAAUACCUCUACAUGGAAAAAUCUUUAUUCCAAAGUACUGUUGCUGAAUAUCGCUUGUUGUGAGAUUUAAAGAUAGUAAUUUUCUAAUUCAGAGAUCAGUGACUAGUUGUCACUUUGAAAACUAUAUAUUUCGAACGGGAAUUUGGCAGCACCACCUCUAGCUGGACAAUUAUGCUGUGCUGAGGAAGGGAAAUAACCCAGAAAUUGUGAUAUGCAGAUAUUGUUUUCAGCUGAAUGGAGGUGCUAGAUUCCCUUGUUUGAAAAUAUAAGGACACAGAUUGUGUUUUAUAGCCAGCUGGAGACGAUGUCUCCUGGGGAUAAAUUACAGUAAAAUUCGUCCUAAACCAGGAUUGCCAUGCUAUGUUGGUAAACAAUCUUUACUCCAAAGUACUGUUGCUGAAUAUCUCACGUUGUGAGAUUUAAAAAUAGUGAUUUUCUAACCUCUACACAGAGUCUUGAUAUUCAAUAUUGAAAUAAUAUUGUUGGUGUGUGGAGAUUAUACUGAACUGGCAAGGUGCCUCAAUUUAAGUACCUAACUCAACUGACUGUUAAUUAUAUUUUAAAUACAUACAUACAUACAUAUCUACACACAUACAGAGAUAUGUAUAUAUAUGUAUAUCAUCGUUUUCAUUUAACAUUCUAUUCUGUAACAGCAUUCAGUUACGAGAUCAUCGGCAUUGUCAUCAUCAUUAUCAUUAUCAUCAUCAUCAUCAUUGUCACAUCAUCAUCGUCAUCAUUACUAUCAUUAUUGUUGUUGUCAUCAUUUUAUCAUAUGCUUUUCAUUGUUUGCCUGGGUUUAGAUGGAAUUUUGUUAAGGCUGAGUUUCUCAAAGCUAGAUAAUUCCCUUCGUGUUGCCAACCCACCACAACAGCUACACCUGUUUCCAAGUAAAGGGUAAAAUAAAAGUGAUGCUUCCAAGUUAAGUAAUCAUAUUUCUUCAAGGCCUGACAUGUUUUCAUGGAAGAUAGGAAAGGAAGAACAUUUCUUGUAUAACAAGUGACAUUCGUUUACAACCAUCAGGUGAUGCUGAGGCAAGGAGGAGUCAGUAACACAUACAUACACACACACACAUAUACACACACACAUGAUGGAACUAUUGCCUACCUAAUUCACUCACAAGGCUUUGAUUGGCUUGAGAUAAAUGAGGCAAGUGGUGUGCUAAAAAGUUCCUUGCUUAAAGGGUAUCAUGAAAGGCCUGGCUGGAAGUUCAACCUUCCAAGUUCUUUUGCAAGGCUUAAAACACCUGAAGGAUCACUGCAAUAAGUUUGUGAAUCUGAAAUGGGAAUCACCAUCAUCAUCAUCGUUGUUGUUUAAUGUCCGCUUUCCAUGCUGGCAUGGGUUGGACGCUUUGACUGGGGACUGGUGAGCCAGAAGGUUGCACCAGGCUCAGUCUGAUCUGGCAUGGUUUUCUAUUGCUUGAUGCUCUUCCUAAUGCCAAUCACACCGACAGAGUAGUCGGUGCUUUUUGCGAGCCAUCAGCAUGAGGGCCAGUCAGGCGGUUCUGGCAACGACCAAACUCAAAAGGUGCUUUUUACAUGUCACCUGCAUGGGAGCCAGUCUGGCGGCACUAGCAACAAAAUCAUAAUUAACUGAUCCUCCUUUUACCCUAAGCCAGGAACUUUUCAGCAAACCCUCGUAUGUGUGUGUGUGUGUGUAUAUAUAUGUAUAUAUAUAUACUGUGGUGCCUGGGAAGAGUCAUUUUCUUUUUGUGCCUUAUAAUGUAACACACUCACCGGUAAAAUUUCCACUUAUUUCUUAUUUUUAUUUUCCUAAAAUUUUCGUUGCGUCUUGCAACUGUUUCAAUAGUCUUGACUCUUAGUCAAGACUAUUAAAAAGGUUGCAACAAAAAUUUUAGGAAAAUAAAAAUAAGAAAUAAGUGGAAAUAUUACUGGUGAGUGUGUUAAAUUAUAAAGCACGUAAAAAAAAUGUCUCCCCAGGCACCACAGUAUGUGCUUCAACACAUGAACUCAUAUAAAGAAUCUUGCAAACUAAAUCUAAAAACGAUAUAUAUAUAUAUGCAUGACUGGUUUCUUUCCAUUUCUGCUGGCCAAAUCCACUCGCAGGACUUUCAAUGGCUCAGAGUUAUAGUAAAAGAUACUUGUCCAAGGUUCCAUGCACUGGGCUUGAACCCAGAACCACGUGGUUGGGAAAGAAAUGUCUUCUUAUAAAGCCAUGCCUGUUGUAGCAUUAGAAGUAAUUGUAGCUGCAUGUUUAUAUGAAUUAAACGGAUUGAAAGAAAAGACCUUAAAUUUUCCACAUUAAAAGAUAGGAAAUAUUUACCUAAUGUUGCGCGCGUGCAUGUGUGUGUGCUGGAAUAGCUCCAUGGUUAAGAAAUUCUCCUUGCAAUCAGCAAGUUUCAUGCUUGAUCUCACAACUUCGUACCUUGGCAAGGCAGGUGUCCUCCACCGUAGCCUUGUGUCAACCAAAUAACCUUCUCAGUUACAUUUGGAUGAGGGAAACUGUGCUGAAGCUUCUCAGUUGUAUAUAGGCAUUAUAUCGACAUGAGAUAAGCUGAACUUUAGGUGCAUUGAACAAAAAUGAGUUUGCCAUGUUUAGUUUUGUCUCGAUAGUGUUUGCUCUCUCUCUCUCUCUCUGUCCAAUAUCAAAUUGUCUUUUGUUCUUUGUAAAAUCAAUGAAGCAAAAUCAAUCAAAACUAAUGUGUUUGAUACAUUAUUAGUGUAACCCUUUUGAUACUCUAUUUCUGUUGAAAUACAUUGAGUUUUUUUUUCAGCUAUUUUUGAAAAUUAUGAGGAAUUUAGUAAAACCACCUUGUCAUUAUUUUCGCUGCUGUUUGCGAUAUAAAUUAACAUGAAAUUUUGACAGAACGUUUUUGAUUUAAAUCAUUUUAAGAACAGAAAGUUCUCAUACCAUAGAGCCAGGGGCAUGUCUUGAGUGGGUUGGUACCAAAAUGGUUAAAACGAUCAAGGUGGUGCCUCGACAUGGCUAGAAUCCAAUGUCUAUAGCUAGCAUGUGUGUGUAUGUGUGUAUCGGAACUGGGUUACAAAACCAAAACACAAACGUUAUCUCUAUCCUUCUCUUGAUCAUCAUUAUUUAAUCUUUAUCUUGGAUGGCUUGGCAGAUUCGAUGGGUCCAAGGACUGCAUUGUGAACCAGUAUCUGCUUUGGCAUGUUUUCUUAUUUCUUUACUACACACAAGGGGCUAAACACAGAAGGGACAAACAAGGACAGACAAAGAGAUUAAAUCGAUUAUAUCGACUCCACUGUGUAACUGGUACUUACUACAAAAGGAUGAAAGGCAAAGUCGACCUCGGCAGAAUUUGAACUCAGAACGUAACAGCAGAUGAAAUACCGCUAAGCAUUUCACCCGGCAUGCUAACGUUUCUGCCAGCUCACCGCCAUAGCAUGGUUUCUUUGGCUGGAUACCCUUUCUAAUGCCAGUCACUUUACAGAGUGUUUUGAGUGCAUUGUUUUGAGGCUGUUAUGUAGGUACAGGUCUGCAGUUCCAGAUACUACUCAUUUGCCAAGGGCUAGGUGUUGUUUAUGAUUAUUGCAGCUAACACCUUCCAUUAACUUAUUUGAACUUCAUCUUCCUGAUCAUCAGAUCCAAUACCUCAUAUCCAAUCUAAUGACUGGCAUUCUUAAAUUCUGAUAACUGUGAGCUGCCAACACACAUAUAUACAGGGGUGGACUGAGAGUAUUAAGGGCCCUUGGGCAUAACUGUUAACCGGGCCCAUUAGCAUUGAUAUCAAUAGAGUUAACAUGUAGAAUGCAGGCCCCUCAGAGCUCUGGGCUGCUGGGCAGUGUCCAAAAAACCAACUGCUCACUCCACCCCUGCAUAUAUAUAUCAUCUUUUUCAUAAUCCCUAAUUAACACCAUCCUUAUCCAUUUUCCCAUGCAUCCAUCAGUUGUAUGGGCACCUUCUUCAGUACUUUGCCCUUACUGCAAUCUUCUGUCAUCUUUCUAAAUUUCAACCGUCUGAGAUUAGCUUUCAUGCUGGCUUCUUCACUCUUCCUCUUUUGCUUGUUCUCUCUACUUGGGCCACUUGGGUCACCUGGCACUUCUUUACCCAUCCAUCAUCCUUCUUAUUCCUCUCAUACCCUUAACAUUUUAGUCAGGCCCCACUUUUACAGCACAUCUGAUAUCUCCCAUAUUCAGUUUUACCUCUUAAUUCAUUUAUACUCCUUUGUCUGUACACAUACAGGGUACAAACCCAGUGAGGAGGCAUGCCUACCUCCUUCGUUUCCAAUCCUCACACAACCCUCCUCCACAUUCAGAGCCCAUCUUUUACUUCCAUGCAGCAUCCCACUUCAAGCACAAACAUCAAAUUAUCUGGCCAUCACUCAAAGAGAGAAUCCUUUUUUAUCUAACUGAAGUGAUUAAGUUGUUUGAGCCAUUCCCUCCCACUCUGGUUUCUAUGCUUUUUGAAACACCUCCCUCCAUUGCUAAUUAGGUCACACAUGUAAGAAAAGCAAUCAACUAAUUCUAGGAAAUUUGAUCCUUUAAGCAUUCAGAUUACUCUAUCACAUGUGAUUCUUAAUUAUUCCUAGUGUUUUGAAUAAUCUUGCAUUGUCUUGUAACUUUGAGAUUUCAGUGAUGUAAUUGUUUAUUUUUAGAAUGACAUUGUAGGGUAGGUGUGAGAGGCCAGAACUGGCCAGUUUGACCAUAAAGCAGAAUAUUUGGGCUGGAUGUGGUCAGAUUAAAUGCUGAAGAGUUCAAAGAAUAUUUCAUGAAUGAUCUUGCUGCUACUGCUUGUAAAACCAUUCUUCUUUGCCUGUGAUUCCACUACAACUCUUGUUUUACUUGAAUACACUCUGUGGAAUUCCUACCAACUUUUUUUCUGCUUAUCAAGCUUGGCCAUAUUUCUUAGUUGCUCUUAUGUCCUGUUUGCUAAGUUGACUUUCGGACCCUUAAUUCAAAACUCUGCUUUCACUUUUGGGAAUUCUUCACCAAACCUUCAAUAGAUUCAGCUAUGAGAACUAAGUCAUCUAAAUAUUUUUCCUCAUAAAAUGCCAGUCAGCAAAAAAAAAAAAAAGUUAAAAAAUCCCUCUUAGGGUUGAAGUACUGAAAUAAAACAAAAAGAGGCUUGGAUGAGAAUUGAACCCUGACUGACUCCUAUUUGCUAAAUACUUCAUUGAACUCAUUCAAUGUCACCUUUUUGGCAAUAUCUCUCUCUACACAUGGCAUGCACCACUCUCACAGUAUAGUCAUCUACCCCUAAGUAUCAUAGUGAUACACUUAGUUUCGUUAGUAACCACCAGGUAACGCCACCUGUUACACUGUCAAAAAGCUUUCCCCAGAUUAACCCAAGUUAGCUAAAAUAACUGGUUCUGAAUUAUGAACAUUCGUAAUUUCUUCAGUUGAAAGAUGACACCGGUGAUACCUUAUCCUGGCACUAACUCAAAUUCCUUCUCAUUUCUGCUAAUUUCUUCCUUGAUUCUUUGAGCUGCAAACUUUUUCUCUCACUCUCAGAACUUGCUGCAUCAGUUUCUGUAGUUAUCUCUGUCAAAGGUCAUUUCCAUUACACCAUAGAGUAGUUUAUAAUGCUGCUGCUGCUACUGGCCAUUGUGACUGACCCCUUCCACAACUAUUACCUGAUUGCUUAUGCAAGCCACUAAUAAUGCAUUUCCGAUUUCACAUGACAUUUUCCCUUCUCAGCUAUUAUCCCUAGUGGUCAGGUUGCUUCCCCUAACUUUAUAUCCUUAAUGGUCAUUUUAACCAUACAGCUGUCAAUUUCAGUUGCUUAUCCCUCUGGUGGUUCCAUUUGUGACAGUCCCCUCCUGCCUCUCUCUUCCUCUUAUUUUCUCCUUACUCACUAACCUCUCUCAUAUUUCUAUGCCUCUUUCUCAAUAUCAUUGAAGGUGAGGGCAAUGCUAUCAAUCCAUUCACCAAACACUUUUAACACCAAUGGCAUCCUGAUUAAUAAUUAAUAUGGACACUUUGCUUUGCCAUCCUAAGCAUUCUGUGUCUCUGGUUCUCAGUCUGCAAACCUUUUACUCAUUGGCAAACCUCUCUUCUAACUCCCUGAUGUUAUUUAUUUCUCCCCACUUUUCUUAAAGUUUAUCCAAGCCUGUCACUUAGCUGCCAUGCUUUAUCUUCUCUUUUACUCUUUUACUUGUUUCAGUCAUGUGACUGUGGCCAUGCUGGAGCACCGCCUUAAGUCGAGCAAAUCGACCCCAAGACUUAUUCUUUGUAAGCUGAAUACUUAUUCUAUCGGUCUCUUUUGCCGAACCGCUAAGUUACGGGGACGUAAACACAGCAGCAUCGGUUGUCAAGUGAUGUUCGGGGGACAAACACAGAAACACAAACAUAUACACACACAUACAUAUAUAUACAUAUACAUGACGGGCUUCUUUCAGUUUCCGUCUACCAAAUCCACUCACAAGGCUUUGUUUGGAUCGAGGCUAUAGUAGAAGACACUUGCUCAAGGUGCCACACUGUGGGACUGAACCCGGAAACCAUGUGGUUCAUAAGCAAGCGGUACCCCAGCAUGGCCACAGCUUGUGAGCUGAAACUAGAUAAAAUAAAAUAAAAAAUUACCACACAGUCACUCCUAUGCCUACCAUUCUAUCACUAUAUCACUUUUUUACCAUUCUAUCUCUAUGUCACCUUCCAUCUUGCUGGAAGCUUGCUUGGUCUGUAAUUGGCAGCAGCUUGUUUCAUCUCGUAGAAAAUCCCAGUUGUCCUCUAUGCCAGUGCUACUCAGAGUGGUGGUUCACGGACGGCAAUGGUCUGUGAGCCAUCAGCUGCCGGUACGUGGUGAGCUUCUAGAAAAGAAAGAAAGAUUAUGAAAUGCUUAUAAAAUGCUUAUGUAAUAUUGUAUUAUUUGCUUACAAAAUAAAUAUAAGAUAAAAAAAAAUUGUCAGCUUUUAUUAUAUUCAUUAUGUAUAUUGUUUCCGGUAUAAAUUAAUAUUACAAAAAAAUAUUACCGGUCCAUUGGAAAAAAAAAACUGCCAGUACACCGCAUCAGAUAGUUUGAGAAGCACUGUUCUAAGAUAUACAUCUCUGCUGGCUCCUCUUUAUUGACAUAUCUGUAACCCAAGUAUUUCUUAGAGCCCAUAUCAAUCUGAAGAAUCUUACAGCUUUCAUUACCUCCAGGCUGUCUUGAGUCUCUGAAUUCCUUUACCAUAUUACAAACAUUGUUCCUAUCUUUCCAAAUCCUGCUGCAUUUCACAUGGAACUUUCAACCCUCCACACUUAUCUUGAUGUAAUAAGUUGACUUAAAUUUUAGGGGCUGUAAAUUUGGGUUUGAAAAUUUCAACUUGAAUCCCAGAAAAUAUAUCAUAUUUUAAUGUGUAUAAAGAAACCGUUUUUGUCAAAAAUUAGAUUAGAAAAGUAUGGGGUUUUUUUUUUCAUACAUGGAUAUUAAUAUAAUCCCUUACAAAACCUUUUUUCCAAAUUUUAAGCCCUGCCAAAUUAGGGGGUUUCUUAUACAUGUUGAAAUAUGGUAGUCACACUUAUUCUUUGUGUCUCAAGUGGUUAGUCUAUGUCGAGUGAAAACAUCCUUCACUGGUGAAAGAUGUAAUAGUCACAUCCGUCUCUCUUUCCUAUUUACUAGAGAGUUUUCUAACCAAUCACAUGGUUCCAGGUUCAGUCCCACUGCAUGGCAACUUGGGGACAAGUGUCUUCUGCUAUAGCCUUCAGCUGACCAAAGCCUUGUGAGUGGAAACUGAAAGAAUCCCAUCGUAUAUGUGUGUGUGUGUUUGUGUCUAUGUUUGUGCCCCAGCUCUGCUUUACACACCAGAGUUGGUAUGUUUAGAUCUCCAUAACUUAGUGGUUCAGCAAAGGAGGUCAUUAAAAAUAAGUGUUAGGCUUAAAAUAUUAGCACUGGGAUCAGUUCGUUCAACUAAAAUAUUCUUGAAGGCUGUGUCCCAUGCUGGAGCACAGCAAGUUAUAGAGUUAAAGAAGAAUCAUCAAUUGGAAAGUGGAUACAACCAGGUAGCUUUGCUGUCACAGUUAUGUCCUUUGUUUUAGAUGUGUGUGUGUGGGGGUGUUGAGCUGAUUGAAACAAGGGGGACGAUAGAAAAUGGGUGUGUGGUGUGGUGGUGGUGUGUUUUUGUUCAUCAUCACCAUCAUCAUAAUCAUGACUAAUUGAAAACUCACCCACUUAACAGGCUGCAUAUGAGAGUAAGGGAGGUGAGAAAGAGAGAGAGAAAGAGAGAUAGAAAGUGAGAGAGAUGCAAGAGAGAGAGAGAGAAAGAAAGAGAGGCAAGAGAGAGAAAGAAAGAAAGAGUGAGAGAGAAAGAGAGUAGAAAGAGAGUGGGGCAAGAGAGAGAAAGAAAGAGAGAGAGGCAAGAGGAAGAAAGAGAAAGAGAUUUGAUUCUGUAUGAGGAGUGAAAUGUCAAGUUCUAACCUUUUUUCCCCCUCUUCUUUCUCCAUCUCUUCUUUAUGUUUUCGAGGAAAAAGAAAAAACAAAACAAAAAAAACUCUGUUGUGAAACAGACUCUCCUACCCCGCCUCCCGUCACACCCUUGGGGUUAUGAGUGGUGGGAAGCGAAUUGCUAAACAAAACUGAAAGAAAACACACAAACACUGCUAGCCCCCCACCCCCCACCCCAAACACUCUGGUUACCUCACCCAGAUUGUAUCAUAAUACACAAGCAGCCAUCUCCAAACUAAUAAUAAUAAUAAUAAUGAUAAUAAAAAUAAAAAUACACUGUGGGAAAAUUAUGGCUGUCAGAUUUCUGUUGUGAUUCUGAAGAAAUUAGGGAGACAAUUCUAGUUGUAGACAGACAAUUCCUGGCAAUUGGAAGGAAUGGCAGCUGGAAGCUCUCCUCCUCCUCUCCCUCCUCCUCCUCCUCCCCCGCCCUCAUCAUCAUCAUCAUCAUCAUCAUCAUCAUCAUCUCACCUCCUCCUCCUCCUCCUCCUCCUCCUCCUCCUCCUCCUCCUCCUCCUCCUCCUCCUCCUUCUUCUUCUUCUUCUUCUUCUUCUUCUUCUUCUUCUUCUUCUUCUUCUUCUCCUCUAAUAAAUUAGAAAAGAAAAACACACUGGGUAUAUUUUGUUAUGUUACUAUUCAUUCUCCGGUUGCAGAGAUUCAAUUUGAGGGAGUUGUUGCUGUUGCUUUUAGCUGGCCCAGAAAUUGGGUGGAAACUCUGUCUGCCUAUGCAUGUGAGCAUGGUUCUAUCCAUGUGUAUAUUAUACACACAUACUCACACACACACAUGAAUAUGCACAUGUAUAUGUGUGUGUGUGUGUGUGCGUGUGUGUGUGUGUGUGCAUAGGCAUAGGUAAGGCUGGCUGAGAGCUUGCUUUGAGUUUAGUCCCACCAAACAGCCCUAUGGGUAACUGUCUACUGCUAUGGCCCCUGGUCAACCAAGGUGAAUGUGACCGAAUUUGGUACAUGGAAACUGAAAUAAGCCUGGAGUAAAGAUUGUUUGCCAACAUAGCAUGGCAGUCCUGGUUUAGGACGAAUGUUUCUGUAAUUUAGCCCCAGGAGACAUCGUCUCCAGCUGGCUAGACGACAUGAUCUGCCUUGUGUGUGUGUGUAUGAACCUCUGACAUCAUGUGAUGGGUGUAAAUGAGUACCACUGUCAUCAUACAAGCGGUGUUGUAUUUUUAUGGUGUUCUAUUACAAAGAUGUUUGGCCAUGGAAAUAGAUGAAGGUUGGGGACAGGAAAGGCACCAAGCCAUAGAAAAUUUGACCAAUGUAAUCAUGGAAAAGUGGGCGUGAAACUGUUAGAACGGUAGCAGAAUCGUUAGAUUGUUGUUGUUGUUGUCGUCGUCGUCAUUAAGGCGGCAAGCUGGCAGAAUCGUUAGCCGAGCAAAAUACCAAGUGCCAUCCUCAUAUUCUGAGUUUGAAUUCUGCUGUGGUUGACUUUGCCUUUCAUUCUUUCAGGGUUGAUAGAUUAAGUACAAGUUGUGUACUGGGAUUGAUCGAAUCGAAUAGUCCUCUCAAGAAAAAUUUCAGGCUUUGUGCCUUAACUAGAAAGGAAUAUUACCUCCACCUUGGCAAAGGCAGAGGUAUUGUUUUCAGUUGUGUUUGUUUGUUUGUUUGUUCAAGAACUGCUGGAUGGAUUUGGAUGAAACUUUCAGGGAUGUUUGGCCUCAUGACUGGCAUGAACUGAUUAGAUUUUAGGAUCGAUCUGAUUCUGGACAAUGAUUUUGGAUUAUUUUUCCGUUUGUUGGCUAAAUUUUUGAGAGCAAUCAAGCUCACUUUUAGUAUUCUCGUUUGUGAGAACAGUUGAGUCUAUUUCAGAUAUUCUCAUUUUAAAAAUCAUCUCUGGUUAAUCAUUGAGAGGACGUUGGUGUUGCCUUGGUGGAGAUUUGCAGUCUCUGAGUGCUUUUGUUAUAAUUAUUAUUUUUAAGGUGGCAAGCUGCCAGAAUCAUUAACAUGCCAGGCAAUGCUCAACAGCAUUUUGCCUGUCUUUACGUUCUGAGUUCAAAUUCCACAAAAAUUGACUUUAUUGGCUUUCAGGGUCGAUAAAAUAAAGUACAAGUUGAUUACUUCCGUCAAUGUAAUCGACUAUCUCCCUCCCCAAAAUUUUAGGCCUUGUGCUUUUAUCAGAAAAGAUUAUUAUCAUCAUCAUUAUUAUCAUCAUCAAUAUUAUUGUUGUUGUUGUUGUUGUUGUAUAUAAGACAGAUCAAUAGUUGAAGAGAA
rnacentral:lncRNA from 1 species